UAAAUAACACCUCCAGAUGAGGACGUGACGAGGAAAUCUGAGGAAAUGCAACAGGAGUCCCAAGACAAAAGGCAUUCACCUCAAAAGCGAGUGGCUGACUCUACUGAGGAUCCAGACCAGUCUGCAUCAAAUGUAGAUUCUUCUCACAAAUCUGGAAAGCGACAAAAAG